GACAGAGGGUGCAAGCGUUGUUCGGAAUUAUUGGGCGUAAAGCGCGUGUAGGCGGCUUUGUACGUCGGGUGUGAAAUCCCUCGGCUUAACCGGGGAACUGCGUCUGAUACUGGAUGGCUUGAGGUUGGGAGAGGGAUGCGGAAUUCCAGGUGUAGCGGUGAAAUGCGUAGAUAUCUGGAGGAACACCGGUGGCGAAGGCGGCAUCCUGGACCAAUUCUGACGCUGAGGAACGAAAGCUAGGGGAGCAGACAGG
rnacentral:rRNA from 1 species